AUUGAACGCUGGCGGCAGGCCUAACACAUGCAAGUCGAGCGAGCAGAGGACGGGUGAGUAAGGUAUGGGGAAUGCCCGAAAGAGGGGGAUAACAACGGGAAACGGUAGCUAAUCCCGCAUACUAUCGGAUAACCCAUAGGGGAUUGGCUAGUAGGUGAGGUAAUGGCUCACCUAGGCGACGAUCCCUAGCUGAUCGGAGAGGAUGAUCGGCCACACUGGGACUGAGACACGGCCCAGACUCCGACGGAGGCAGCAGUGGGGAAUAUUGAACAAUGGGCGAAAGUCUGAUGCAGCCACGCCGCGUGUAUGAAGAAGGCUCUAGGGUUGUAAAGUACUGUUAGUCGGGAGGCGGUAUCUACAGAGUAAGCCCCGGCUAACUACGUGCCAGCAGCCGCGGUAAUAC
rnacentral:rRNA from 1 species